UGUCUUUCAGCAAAAUAUAUUUAGUUCAAUAAUUAAUAUAUAUUAAAAAAUUCAAUCACCUUCAAAACUUCAACUUCUUUUUAUCUAAUAGGUAAAAAAAAAAAAAGCUAAAAAAGACUAAAUAUUCUAAUUUCCAUUGUCCCUGUCCAGAAAAAGAAAUUCUGAUCAGAAAUUUCCCAAAACAAAAGAAAAAAUUAACGUAGAUGGUAUAGUGUCUGACUAAAGAUCAGGGCGUUUUAGCCUAUAUUUUAUUCGUAAACAACAAUUAAGAUUCCUCUUUGGUUACUUGAUUCUAUUGUUUUGAGUGGCUUUUCUAUGUAAUUUAUAGAAUAAUUCUGCCUUGGAGGAAUUCAUGGGGUUCUGCAUUCUGAGAAGAAAAAAUCAGAUGAACAUGAAUAAAGAUAUUAGCCCAUUUAAAAUAAGUCCGAAUUUGAUUACGUUGAUUCAACAAUCUAACCAUAACUGCGAACAUCAAAUUCUUCUUCUUACAAAUCAAGUAAACGAAAUUGCGAUAAACAAACUCCUUUUAAUUAUAUCUUACAAGACCCUCUCUGACUAAAUCAAACUGAUCGUUCAAGAAGAAUCAGAGAACUCUUCGGGAAUCAAAAUCAACCGAGAAAGCGAGUUUUGGGGUAACUUGACAUGGUUGCCUGGAUUUUGCAUGUAAAUCCUACAAUGCUUUUCGCCUUGGCCCCUCAUGGAAACACUAGUCUUGUUGGCAUGUUGAACCAGACUUCCAGGCUGCCUACUAUCAUCAUCAACCCCCUCUGUCUUCUGGGUCUGCAUGCUCAGAGCUGCCGAGGGAGUAGAACCGGCAGGCGUAGACUGAGCUGGAGGACGAGGGUAGAAGAAAUCUGUGGGGAAAAAGUUAUACUGAAGACCGGCCAUGGAAAUUAGACUAUUAAAACUUUGAAAUCUGAAUCAACAAAAACAGAGGUUUUUUUUUUUUUGUUUUUUGUUACAGGGAACUCUGGGGGUUUGAAGUGUAUUUAUAGGGAGGGAAAGGGCGGUUCCAGACUUUGCCUUGGCUUGGGAUUCAAGCCAUUCUUGAAACACGUGAGGUCUUUAAUUUGGUGCUAGUUUCUUGGUUGAUGGGUUUUACCUUUUUGUUUCUUUUGUUGCACAUUAAAAAUUAUGAUUUUCUUCGCAGAAUAGGAAUAGAAGGAUCGGUGGCUGCCUACGGGUCCAGCACGUUUGGUGGUGGGCAUAACAAUUCCCGCGGGGAGACCAUUGGAAAGUGGGUUUAG
rnacentral:lncRNA from 1 species